UGCCUCCUCCUGCGGGCACGAUGCAGUUUAUGUUGCUUUUUAGUCGUCAGGGGAAGCUGAGACUUCAGAAGUGGUAUGUCCCGUUGUCUGACAAAGAGAAGAAGAAAAUCACAAGGGAACUUGUUCAGACAGUGCUGGCCCGUAAACCGAAAAUGUGCAGCUUCCUGGAGUGGAGAGACCUGAAGAUUGUCUACAAAAGAUAUGCAAGCCUUUAUUUCUGCUGUGCUAUUGAAGAUCAGGACAAUGAACUGAUAACCCUGGAAAUAAUUCAUCGUUAUGUGGAACUACUUGACAAGUAUUUUGGCAGUGUGUGUGAACUUGAUAUCAUCUUCAAUUUUGAAAAGGCUUAUUUUAUUCUGGAUGAGUUCCUGUUGGGAGGGGAAGUUCAGGAGACCUCCAAGAAAAACGUUCUCAAAGCCAUUGAGCAGGCAGAUCUGUUACAGGAGAGCCAGAAUGAAGACUGGGGAGGUUUGUCUGAGGAUAUCUUAUGAUUAAGAGCAGUCUAAGGCUUUAGCCCUUUUGACCCCCCUCUAAAUUGGCCCCUAAGAGAGGAAUACAUUGUGGCAGUGUUACAAAGAAAAGCCACGUCAUGAAUACUUUAAUGUCCCAGUGUACUAAAUGACUUCAUUCAUCAUGCAUGCAGCAUUUCAGAGAGGAGAUAGACCUGACUUAUUCAUGGCAGAACCUUAUCCUCAGCUUGGUGAAAUCAAUCAUCUUGAACACAAUAGACUAUACCACAACCAUUAUCUUUGCUGUUGUACUUUCCUUCACCCCUUCUGUUUGUAUAUUCUCAUGUCUCAUCUUGAUAUAACUUGUUCCUGUCAGCAUAUGAUCUCUUACUGUGUGAAAAGUUCCAAGUCUUAUGUUCAACGUUUGUGUGGAAGUCAUUCAUUUGAAUAAGUACAUACUGUGUAACAUUACUUAAUCUUUUAAAUAUUUCAGCUGUGGUGUUACUUGAAAAUACAUAUAAAAUUGUAGUAUACAUCAGAAGUUUAUACAGAGAAACUAGUGAUCCCAUGGAAUAGUAUAAGGCUUAUCUUUUUAAAGUGUGUAUAGAAUAUAUACAUACAUAUGUAUAAGCUUUAUGUAUAGUUGUAAAACUGCAUACAUCUCUAAUGAAAAAUGCAAAAGUAAAAUGCAUUUUUCUCUACCUUUACUUUUAAUUUCUUUUGAAAGUAUUUGUUGGGGUAGUGGUGA